CCAAUAAAAUUUCUCAUAUUUUCUAAUGAGAACGAACACUCAUAGACAACUCACUAAUCAUGAGACAAACAUGCAUAUCUAUGAACAGCAAGAAGAAAAAUAAAAAGUAAAUGGGUUGGAUAUUUUAAGAUUGAUCUGUUUGAUGAAAUGAGCAAUGAACAGUCAGAAACUUUGUGUGCAUCGAGAGCUUGGUGAGCUAAUUCUGUGACAUUGGUCUUCAACCUCUCUGACAUGUCUGUUUCUCUCACCACAGUUUUUCCUUCCAACAUCUUAAGCACUUCACUCCAAUGAUACCGCCAAACAGGGCCUUAGGUUGCCACUGACUACCUCCAAUAUAGCCACUCAUCUGCAAACCAUAAGAACAACCACUCUGCCAAAUCUUCAGUGAAAUAGAUUUUGAGAUUAUAAAAUCUUUCCAUUUCGUAUUGUUCUUUUCUUUAUUCCGUAUUGGCCUCAGAAAAGCCCUUGCCUCUUUCUUUCAUCAUAAAACAUGAGAUUUGUACUCAUUUGGGUAUGUUGUUGCAAUCCGAACAGUUGUAAGAAAAUAUCACACCUUGACUGGCAACCAUUUCCACUAAUAAUUUUGUGUUCCCUGUUUCAAUCACAUGUUACCAUAAAUAAACCUUAGC
rnacentral:lncRNA from 1 species